rnacentral:rRNA from 1 species
CCUACGGGUGGCAGCAGUGGGGAAUAUUGCACAAUGGGGGAAACCCUGAUGCAGCGACGCCGCGUGAGUGAAGAAGUAUUUAGGUAUGUAAAGCUCUAUCAGCAGGGAAGAAAAUGACGGUACCUGAUUAAGAAGCCCCGGCUAACGACGUGCCAGCAGCGGAGGUAAUACGUAGGGGGCAAGCGUUAUCCGGAUUUACUGGGUGUAAAGGGAGCGUAGACGGCAGCACAAGUCUGGAGUGAAAUGCCGGGGCUUAACCCCGGAACUGCUUUGGAAACUGUGCGGCUAGAGUGCAGGAGAGGUAAGUGGAAUUCCUGGUGUAGCGGUGAAAUGCGUAGAUAUUAGGAGGAACACCAGUGGCGAAGGCGGCUUGCUGGACUGUAACUGACGUUGAGGCUCGAAAGCGUGGGGAGCGAACAGGAUUAGAUACCCGAGUAGUC